rnacentral:tRNA from 1 species
GCGCUCGUAGCUCAGUGGAUAGAGCAGCGGACUUCUAAUCCGCAGGUCGUAGGUUCGAAUCCUACCGAGCGCA